CUGUGUGGCUCCAGGUACAUGUGUGUGUUCUGGUUUGUCAGUGUGUCCUCAGCUGUGUGGCUCCAGGUACAUGUGUGUGUUCUGAUUUGUCAGUGUGUCCUCAGCUGUGUGGCUCCAGGUACAUGUGUGUGUGUGUUCUUUGUUUGUCAGUGUGGCCUCAGCUGUGUGGCUCCAGGUACGUGUGUGUGUUCUGGUUUGUCAGUGUGGCCUCAGCUGUGUGGCUCCAGGUACAUGUGUGUGUUCUGGUUUGUCAGUGUGUCCUCAGCUGUGUGGCUCCAGGUACAUGUGUGUGUUCUGGUUUGUCAGUGUGUCCUCAGCUGUGUGGCUCCAGGUACAUGUGUGUGUUCUGGUUUGUCAGUGUGUCCUCAGCUGUGUGGCUCCAGGUACGUGUGUGUGUUCUGGUUUGUCAGUGUGUCCUCAGCUGUGUGGCUCCAGGUACGUGUGUGUGUUCUGGUUUGUCAGUGUGUCCUCAGCUGUGUGGCUCCAGGUACGUGUGUGUGUUCUGGUUUGUCAGUGUGUCCUCAGCUGUGUGGCUCCAGGUACGUGUGUGUGUUCUGGUUUGUCAGUGUGUCCUCAGCUGUGUGGCUCCAGGUACGUGUGUGUGUUCUGGUUUGUCAGUGUGUCCUCAGCUGUGUGGCUCCAGGUACGUGUGUGUGUUCUGGUUUGUCAGUGUGUCCUCAGCUGUGUGGCUCCAGGUACGUGUGUGUGUUCUGGUUUGUCAGUGUGGCCUCAGCUGUGUGGCUUCAGGUACG